GUGUAGCGCUGUACAUCGCAGUUCCUGUGCCCGUCCGCGCCCGCCUGGCGACUGCUCGCGCCGUUUUGUCAGCC
rnacentral:sRNA from 3 species